rnacentral:rRNA from 1 species
UAAGGAAUAUUGGUCAAUGGACGCAAGUCUGAACCAGCCAUGCCGCGUGAAGGAUGAAGGUCCUCUGGAUUGUAAACUUCUUUUAUCUGGGACGAAAACGGGAUUUUUAUCUCAAUUGACGGUACCAGAGGAAUAAGCACCGGCUAACUCCGUGCCAGCAGCCGCGGUAAUACGGAGGGUGCGAGCGUUAUCCGGAUUUACUGGGUUUAAAGGGUGCGUAGGUGGGCUUAUAAGUCAGUGGUGAAAUCUCCGAGCUUAACUUGGAAACUGCCGUUGAUACUAUAGGUCUUGAAUUAUCUGGAGGUAAGCGGAGUAUGUCAUGUAGCGGUGAAAUGCUUAGAUAUGACAUAGAACACCAAUUGCGAAGGCAGCUUACUACAUAUAAAUUGACGCUGAGGCACGAAAGCGUGGGGAUCAAACA